UACGUAGGAGGCGAGCGUUAUCCGGAUUUACUGGGCGUAAAGAGGGCGCAGGCGGCUUUUCAAGUCGGAUGUGAAAUCUCCCUGCUUAACGGGGAGGGGACAUUCGAUACUGUUGAGCUUGAGGGCAGCAGAGGGAGGUGGAAUUCCCGGUGUAGUGGUGAAAUGCGUAGAUAUCGGGAGGAACACCAGUGGCGAAGGCGGCCUUCUGGGCUGUUCCUGACGCUGAGGCCCGAAAGCGCGGGGAG
rnacentral:rRNA from 1 species